rnacentral:rRNA from 1 species
AACGAACGCUGGCGGCAUGCCUAACACAUGCAAGUCGAACGAGACCUUCGGGUCUAGUGGCGCACGGGUGCGUAACGCGUGGGAAUCUGCCCUUGGGUUCGGAAUAACUUCGGGAAACUGAAGCUAAUACCGGAUGAUGACGUAAGUCCAAAGAUUUAUCGCCCAAGGAUGAGCCCGCGUAGGAUUAGCUAGUUGGUGAGGUAAAGGCUCACCAAGGCGACGAUCCUUAGCUGGUCUGAGAGGAUGAUCAGCCACACUGGGACUGAGACACGGCCCAGACUCCUACGGGAGGCAGCAGUGAGGAAUAUUGGGACAAAUGGGGCGCAAGCCUGAUCCAGCCAUGCCGCGUGCAGGAAGAAGCAUCUAUGGUGUGUAAACUGCUUUUGUACGGGAAGAAACACUCCUACGUGUAGGAGCUUGACGGUACCGUAAGAAUAAGGAUCGGCUAACUCCGUGCCAGCAGCCGCGGUAAAGUGACU